rnacentral:rRNA from 1 species
AUUGAACGCUGGCGGCAGGCCUAACACAUGCAAGUCGAGCGGAUGAAGGGAGCUUGCUCCUGGAUUCAGCGGCGGACGGGUGAGUAAUGCCUAGGAAUCUGCCUGGUAGUGGGGGAUAACGUCCGGAAACGGGCGCUAAUACCGCAUACGUCCUGAGGGAGAAAGUGGGGGAUCUUCGGACCUCACGCUAUCAGAUGAGCCUAGGUCGGAUUAGCUAGUUGGUGGGGUAAAGGCCUACCAAGGCGACGAUCCGUAACUGGUCUGAGAGGAUGAUCAGUCACACUGGAACUGAGACACGGUCCAGACUCCGACGGGAGGCAGCAGUGGGGAAUAUUGGACAAUGGGCGAAAGCCUGAUCCAGCCAUGCCGCGUGUGUGAAGAAGGUCUUCGGAUUGUAAAGCACUUUAAGUUGGGAGGAAGGGCAGUAAGUUAAUACCUUGCUGUUUUGACGUUACCAACAGAAUAAGCACCGGCUAACUUCG